rnacentral:misc_RNA from 1 species
UCUCCGUAGGUGAACCUGCGGAGGGAUCAUUACCGAGCUCAUGCCCUACCGGGUAGAUCUCCCACCCUGUGUUAUUAUUACCUUUGUUGCUUUGGCGGGCCGUCUCGCCCCGGCCAGGCUACCGGCUCCGGCUGGUAAGCGCCCGCCAGAGGACCCCAAACCCUGAAUGUCAGUGUCGUCUGAGUACUAUACAAUAGUUAAAACUUUCAACAACGGAUCUCUUGGUUCUG